AGCUGUCAUCUGGAGAAAACUAUGAGUCUCUACCCAGCUCAUGGUCAAGGACUUCAGCAAGUUUUCCACUCACUGACAAUCACUGAACUGGUUGAUGACUCAGAUUUUCUUUCCAUCUCAAGUUUCUUUUAUUGAAAUUUGGAAGACCAUAUCACUGUCUUACACACCAAAGAAUUUUGACGGUUUUUGGUUACCAAAAGAAAACUGGAUGAGACUACAGAGGCAAGAUUUAAGGUGAACUACCCCUAUAUUUGCAAAGGAAGGCAAUCCUCCAUCUAUGGCAUCUCUACUCAGAAUGGACCUACU